rnacentral:rRNA from 1 species
GACGAACGCUGGCGGCGUGCUUAACACAUGCAAGUCGAACGGAAAGGCCCCUUUGGGGGUCCUCGAGUGGCGCACGGGUGCGUAACACGUGAGUAACCUGCCCUUGACUUCGGGAUAACUUCAGGAAACUGGGGCUAAUACCGGAUAGGAAUCCUUGCUGCAUGGUGGGGGUUGGAAAGCUUCGGCGGUUUUGGAUGGACUCGCGGCUUAUCAGCUUGUUGGUGGGGUAGUGGCUUACCAAGGCUUUGACGGGUAGCCGGCCUGAGAGGGCGACCGGCCACAUUGGGACUGAGAUACGGCCCAGACGCCUACGGGAGGCAGCAGUGGGGAAUAUUGCACAAGGGGCGGAAGCCGGAUGCAGCAACGCCGCGGGCGGGAUGACGGCCUUCGGGUUGUAAACCGCUUUCAGCAGGGGCGAAGCUUGUGGUGACGGUACCUGCAGAAGAAGCACCGGCUAACUACGUG